UACAGAGGGUGCGAGCGUUAAUCGGAGUUACUGGGCGUAAAGGGCGUGCAGGCGGUUUGUUUAGUCCAGGGUGAAAGCUCCCGGCUCAACUGGGAGAGGUCCUUGGAUACUGGCAGACUUGAGGGAGGCAGAGGAAAGUGGAAUUCCCGGUGUAGUGGUGAUAUGCGUAGAUAUCGGGAGGAACACCAGUGGCGAAGGCGGCUUUCUGGGCCUUACCUGACGCUG
rnacentral:rRNA from 1 species